AAAAAUGGAUCAACAGACAUUCAGGUUGCAAAUUCAGGUUGCAAAUGAGAAUGUGCUAGGACAAGGGAACUCAGCUCUUUGUGGGUCUUUGUUAUGUGCUGGAUAAGUCAUAUCAUUUUUCGAUACAAUCAAUAUGACAUAUUCAACAACAUGUCUCUAAGUUCUACUAGCUGUAUUUAUAUAGUUUCACUUGGUUUGCGUGGUAUGGCAUAUGUUAUCUAAGCAAGUGCAGCCACUUCUUUGUCAAAUGUCUUAUAUUAGCCCAACAUAUGCAGAGACAAUUCAAGGCUGCCGGAACGCCCGCCACCAAAUAGUUGUAAGGAUUCAAUUCAUUUUAGGACUCGUUUGCAGAGGGUUGAAACGAUAACUUGUGAGCACAUAUGUUUCACACACCGACCAUUUCUCUGGUUAUUCAUGAAAUGUGGAUGAGGCCGAUUGUUACGCAGAAUAGGCUUCCUUUCAACCCACAUCCUCUAAUGUUUAAGCAGGACGCUAGAAAACGAGGAAUAAAUAGGUGGUUAGAAUGUUAGGUUAUUAAAAAAUUCUGUCUGUUUCUGAUUAUGGAAAAUCUGGCGAGUGCUGGAGGUCGCGGAAGCGACGAACAUGACCAGAUGAUCAGGGAGAGGUCGGAGCUCGCAAAGAAAGGCGAGCAUGAAGACAUAGCAGCUGAUAGGAAAGAUUUGGCAACAGAUGUGUGGAGAUUUAUUAGAAAUGCGAGUCUGUAUGGUGGCUUUGUUCAACCAGGUAGAAUUGAAAAUGAGAUAGACGCACAGAGAGCCUCACGUGCAGGCGUGGGGAAAUGGCUCCGGCAUCGCUGAUGACACGUUUACGUUGGUGAUGGUGUACCCUGAUGCACUAAUUGCUAACGCUUCCUGGACUGUUUUCAACAUUCCAGGCUCAGCGCAAAGUCUUCAGCAUUUAUGAAAGGCAAGAAGCAUUCAUGGUCCAUUACAUUCUCGUGCAUUUCCAGUGCCAAAAAUAUCACCAUUUUCUUAGACACCCUUGCAAGGUCCAAACCAACAAAAAGCUGAAUUCUGAGAAGAAUGAAAGCAUUAUUUUGAGAGUGGCAUGAUAUGGAUAUAUUCAUCCAGUGAGGGAACUGCACAAGUCAGGGAGGAAGGGAAGGAGGGGGGCCAGCAGGAGUUUACCCCUGUGUCUUCAACUUGGUCAAUUAGGCGCUUGAUUGGAUAGUCGUUCAGCGAAUGCUUUCAAAGGACUCAAGGCAAAAAUUGUCUGUGUAAAGUAAAUUAGCCAUCCUUCACAGGGUACACCAACUUGUCAUACAAGCUGAACUCAGCCAGUGCUCAAGGCGGACAACCAGUAGAUAGCGAUGUAGAAACACUUCUUCUGUCCUUGCUUAUGGCUGUAAGCAGAUGCUUUGUGGUGCAGACUGUUGGUUUGGACAGUAUCUCCGUAUUUUAAGUAACCAGGAGUUGCAACGUCUAUUCAUAGAUUCUCUUCUCCGAACAACAUUUUGAUAAGCUUCCGGGCGUGACAUUAUUGGCGCCGGAUCCCCUCACGUGUCGAUUUAUUCAAAGCUCACAUUUCUCUCA